rnacentral:tRNA from 16 species
UAUCAACCGCUCAGCCAUCUCUCC